rnacentral:tRNA from 1 species
GCGGACGUGGUGGAACUGGUAGACACAAGGGACUUAAAAUCCCUCGGAGCAAUCCGUACGGGUUCGAUCCCCGUCGUCCGCACCA